rnacentral:rRNA from 1 species
AUGACCCCCUGCCACACGCGCCUCUUCGUUGCUCUGUCCCGGCCACGCGUGCCACCCCGUCCUGCCUCCGGCGACGCAAACCACCUCCGCCCGCGGGCGCCGCCGCACGAACCCCGCGCGUGUCAUGUACGCCAGCUCCACCCGAAUCGCCGCCGCAGCCUCCCUCCACACAAACCAUGCACCGCCGCCACCUUGGGCCGUUCAACAACACAUCCCAAGGAUGUUCACCACCGCAUCACCCUGAUCCCCACUGCCACAAAAUGCUCCGAUGAGGCCCAGAUCGUUCCUCCCCGUGGUUCAUAG